rnacentral:rRNA from 1 species
CGGGUGAGUAACACGUAUCCAACCUGCCGUCUACUCUUGGCCAGCCUUCUGAAAGGAAGAUUAAUCCAGGAUGGCAUCAUGAGUUCACAUGUCCGCAUGAUUAAAGGUAUUUUCCGGUAGACGAUGGGGAUGCGUUCCAUUAGAUAGUAGGCGGGGUAACGGCCCACCUAGUCAACGAUGGAUAGGGGUUCUGAGAGGAAGGUCCCCCACAUUGGAACUGAGACACGGUCCAG